rnacentral:tRNA from 1 species
AGUUUUUUAAGUUAUACAAUAAACUAUAAACCUUCAAAGUUUAAAAAGUUUUUAUGCAAAAACAU